UACAGAGGUCUCAAGCGUUGUUCGGAUUCAUUGGGCGUAAAGGGUGCGUAGGCGGCGCGGUAAGUCGGGUGUGAAAUCUUGGAGCUUAACUCCGAAACUGCAUUCGAUACUGCCGUGCUUGAGGACUGGAGAGGAGACUGGAAUUUACGGUGUAGCGGUGAAAUGCGUAGAUAUCGUAAGGAAGACCAGUGGCGAAGGCGGGUCUCUGGACAGUUCCUGACGCUGAGGCACGAAGGCCAGGGGAGCAAACGGGAUUAGA
rnacentral:rRNA from 1 species